ACUGCUGGGGGAAAAACACACAAAAGGGAGAAAAACCUGAACAUGCCAGUCUCACCCAGUUGUAGAUUGUUUUCCCAAAUGUAAACUCCACA